rnacentral:lncRNA from 1 species
UCUCACCGCCAAUUAUAUCUUGAAUAUAGUGCCACGCAAGAAGUUAGACAAAAUCACGUAUGAGUUGUUUAAAGAUAGUAGUACUACCUAUAACUUUUUACAUAUGUGAGGAUGUCUUGUGAAGGUAGUAGUACCUCCUCCUAAAAAAAAAAAAAAUAAGGCCAAAAAUCGUUGAUUGUGUGUUCAUCGGUUAUGCACAAAAUAGUAGUACAUAUCGAUUUCUUGUGUAUGAGUCUGCAAUACCAGAUAUUCACAAGAAUACCUACAUGGAGUUUAGGAAUGCGUCGUUCUUUAAACACAUAUUUCCUUAUAGAUCUAUUGGUGAAUCUAGUUCAGUGAAACGGACUCUACAUCCUGCCAAUGAUAGUAGCCGAAAUCAAUAAAAAUUAUUUUUUGAAAUUCUGUAUUUGUCGAAUAUUUUCCAACAAGCCGUAGGUCACAGAUUUUGUGCACCUUGACAGUAAACAUGUGUAAAAGUAGUGAACAGUUCCCACAUUUUCAUUGACUAUUUGUGAAAAAAUGUAGCCACCUUGUCAUAAGUUCUAGUAAAACGACCAUUUACAGGUUAAUUCGUAAUUCAGAUAGUUAUAUAUAAUUAAAUUUGAUAGUAUACCCUACCUACAUCAUCGUCUUGUAGCGUCGAUAAUGCCAUGAACCACUAGAGUUGAGUCAACAAGAAAGACAUAAGAUGCUUUCAUCCCUUUGAUCCCAAUUUGAAUAUAUUUUAAUUUGACUGAUUUAUGGCAAAAUGAUAAUUUCAGUGAUUUUUCCGAGUUGUUAAUUGGACCUACUUUGAAAGACUCGUGUUUGUUAAUAAACCAACCAAAGAUUGAAUCUCUAUGGUAAGCAAUGAACUAUAUAUGCAAGAAUUUGACCGAAUAAGAGAACAAGGCUUAGUCCAAGUGGUAAUGGGCGGCCUUACCAGAACUUACGUUCUAGGUUCGAUUCUCACCCCCGCCCCCGGCAUAAGGCGCCCGCCCCUGGGCAUAAGGCACAGUCGCUUCGGGCGGACGUCGUGUACACGAGCUAACACUUAGAAGUAUCACGUUCGAUUCUUGGUGGCUGUGUCGCACAUCCGCGUUUACAUCCUGAGGUGUGGUAUUGCGUUCGAUUCUUGGUUGCUGCGUCGCACAUCCACGUUUACAUCCUGAGGUGUGAAGGAUUAGCUGUUCGGGGUACAUAGAUUAGUUUGGGUGAGCCCAAAAGCCUGUUUAGGAUACUUUGUGACUAAUAAAAAAAAAAGAAUUUGACCGAAUAAUAUAGUUUUGGCCACAAUUUUAGGAGUUUCAUUUUUAGAAAGAUUUGACUCCUUUAUUCCUUCGUCUGCAUAAUUCUGUUUUCAUGUAUGUCUUUCAAAAUAGUUUGUUUUCUAUAUCUAGUAUCAGAAUUGAAAUACCCCCCAUUUUUUUUAUUUCUGACAAAUUUCUUAACUUUUUAAAUUCAACCUUGAUUUGAAAAUAUUUUAUUUUUUAAAGUAUCAUUCUUUUUUUCAACCGGGGUUUUAAAGUAUCCUUUGGACUUCUCUACUACUGUAAAUAACUUUGUAACGUCUGUCUCUUGAUUGUUCAAUUUUUGUUGAGGUAUUUAAUCAUAUUUCAAAGAAAAUACUGCUUUGAAUUGUGUUUUUUCGUGGAUUUAUUAUCACUUUAAAUUUCUCGUUCCAUAAACGAUUCCCUGCAUUAACAAUUCAAAGACUCACAAUCUCUACUAUCACUUGGUAGAAUUGACUCAAAAUGGUUCCAUCUAGUAUCUCAAGUCGACGGGUUGAACGGGUUCAGCCUUCGCAACUCAACCGAGUCAACUCGUUCUUUGCAUGUGUAAAUGUUUAAUAUAUUUUUUUGAUAACUCGAUAUUUGGCUCAAGUAUUCAACUAAUUCUAGGGACCCAUCUCAGAACCCAUCUCACUGUCCACUAGUGAGGGGAGGAUUUAAUCUAAUUUAAAUUAUUUUUACAGAGAGACUAAUUUGUGUGACUGAAAAACUAUCCUGAUAUAAGCAAUAAAUCUCACAGUUUCAUACGAGAAGCACACUAUGAUGCGAGAGAACCUUAUAUAUAUUACUCUCGAGUUUACUGAAUAAUAGAGGUAUUCAAUUAGAGAUUUUUACAACAAAUUGGUGGUAUCAAGACACAAUAUUUAAGUAACACCCUCUUUAUAUAUCAAAUUAUUUACCCACUAAGUCAACAUUAUUUGUGGGCUUAACUUUAACAAACAAACCCCAAAGCCAUAAAAAAAAAUGAGAACCCACCAACAUAAUAAUAAUUUUCAUUUUACAUAGAUACCCAAAUCACAACCUUUUUCUUUUCUUUUUUUUUUUUCCCUACCUUUCAAUGUCCAUUGGAAUAAAGGCUUUUUCCAUGUGAUCCACAAAGUGUUUGUUUUUCUUUUGAGCCUCAGCAUCUUCCACCUCCUCUGGUUCUUCAUACUUGGACAAGCUUUUGUACUCAACUCUCCCUCCAUAAACUUUAGUGAAGAACAUGUACAAGCACAUGGAGAAAAUCAUCACAAGGACCAAGAGCCAGCUAAACUCAACGUUCACAAGGGCCUUUGCCCGCUUGAGCGCCUGGUGGGACCCGCACCGGACCACCGUGUGACCCUCUUCCAAGUGCAUGAAGCAACCCUUGGGCAUGAACUGUGGGGUCCAAAGCAUGAAUCCCAUGACCAUGAGCCAAACCCCUUGGAAAAGUAUGCUAAUGGACCUAACAAAGCUAAUCAAGAAGCUCUUAGGGUACCCAAUGCCCAUGAGAGUGGUGAGGAGAGAGAUAGCAAUGACGACUUGGAGGAGGAGGUGGUACUGGCCUUCGACCCCCAUGUGGUCUGCGGAGUGGAGGUGGAAGAGGAGGAGCUGCUGGCUGAAGGCGGAGGCCCCAACCAGUAGGGUCAGGCCAUGUUGGGACUUGUUAGUGGCAAACUUGUCUAGAAUAAUUGCAGAUAGCGCGUAAACAAAGAUGGAUAGGGAUAUGGUGGAGUGUUCAAAGUUGUGGAGGUGGUUGGAGGGGAUGGUGCCAUCUGGACCAAGGGGUUGGUGCCGGGCCGGGCCGAUGAAGAGCUCCAUGGAUAUGGACAUGGAGCACCCAACCAUGAUGAGGUAGAGCUCCAAGUACCUUUUCCUUGAGGUGGGGAACCAUGGCAUGGAGGUGUAGUACUUUGGGUUUAGGGCGUGGAGUUUGAUGUGGUUAAGGAGGUGCCACAAGCCUAGGGCAAAGAAGCCAAAUCCUGGUGCUACAUGCCCCACCAAAGUACCCAUGAUUUUUUUAAAGCUUUGUCUUGGGGGAGAGAGAGAGAGAGAGAGAGAGGGAGGGAG